UACGGGGGGGGCAAGCGUUGUUCGGAAUUACUGGGCGUAAAGCGCACGUAGGCGGAUUUGUAAGUCAGGGGUGAAAUCCCAGGGCCUCAACCCUGGAACUGCCUUUGAUACUGACGGUCUGGAGAUCGGGAGAGGUUGGUGGAAUUCCGAGUGUAGAGGUGAAAUUCGGUAGAUAUCGGAGGAACACCAGGAAGCGAAGGCGGCCAA
rnacentral:rRNA from 1 species